rnacentral:rRNA from 1 species
AGAGUUUGAUCCUGGCUCAGGACGAACGCUGGCGGCGUGCCUAAUACAUGCAAGUCGAGCGAGCUUGCCUAGAUGAUUUUAGUGCUUGCACUAAAUGAAACUAGAUACAAGCGAGCGGCGGACGGGUGAGUAACACGUGGGUAACCUGCCCAAGAGACUGGGAUAACACCUGGAAACAGAUGCUAAUACCGGAUAACAACACUAGACGCAUGUCUAGAGUUUGAAAGAUGGUUCUGCUAUCACUCUUGGAUGGACCUGCGGUGCAUUAGCUAGUUGGUAAGGUAACGGCUUACCAAGGCAAUGAUGCAUAGCCGAGUUGAGAGACUGAUCGGCCACAUUGGGACUGAGACACGGCCCAAACUCCUACGGGAGGCAGCAGUAGGGAAUCUUCCACAAUGGACGAAAGUCUGAUGGAGCAACGCCGCGUGAGUGAAGAAGGGUUUCGGCUCGUAAAGCUCUGUUGGUAGUGAAGAAAGAUAGAGGUAGUAACUGGCCUUUAUUUGACGGUAAUUACUUAGAAAGUCACGGCUAACUACGUGCCAGCAGCCGCGGUAAUACGUAGGUGGCAAGCGUUGUCCGGAUUUAUUGGGCGUAAAGCGAGUGCAGGCGGUUCAAUAAGUCUGAUGUGAAAGCCUUCGGCUCAACCGGAGAAUUGCAUCAGAAACUGUUGAACUUGAGUGCAGAAGAGGAGAGUGGAACUCCAUGUGUAGCGGUGGAAUGCGUAGAUAUAUGGAAGAACACCAGUGGCGAAGGCGGCUCUCUGGUCUGCAACUGACGCUGAGGCUCGAAAGCAUGGGUAGCGAACAGGAUUAGAUACCCUGGUAGUCCAUGCCGUAAACGAUGAG